rnacentral:lncRNA from 1 species
CCCUUCUUUUUGCUCUUUCCUCGCGUAUGCGCUUUCUUUCUUCUUUUCUUUUCAGCUUCUCAUCAUGCCUUUGUUGUUCUUCUUUUGCUUUUCUCUUUGCUUCCCUUCUCGCUCUUCUUUCUUUCUUUCUUUCUUUCCGCAUUGGGGGUCUUGUCGUCUUUGAGGGUGGCAUUACUCGCUGUCGACAGUGACAUCUCACUGUUGCUGCUUGCAUCUUCGACAAGCACAUCAUUAUCCUUCGGCUCUCGAGCGGAUCUUGAACCUCCUCCAACUUCCAUACUUCACGUGG